rnacentral:rRNA from 1 species
AGUGAACGCUGGCGGCAGGCCUAACACAUGCAAGUCGAACGGCAGCACAGUAAGAGCUGGCGCAUACGGGUGGCGAGUGGCGGAAGGGUGACGUAUACAUCGGAUUCCACUUUGUCGGGGGUGCUAACGCAGGGAAAUUUACGCUAACAAAGCAUACGUCGUCCGGGUGAGAGCACGGGUUCGUUGGGCUUUGCGCGAUGGUAAGAGCCGACGUCGGCUUAGCUAGUUAGCGGGGUAAAGGCCUAGCUAGGCGACGAUCCGUAGCUGGUCCGAGAGGGUGAUCCGCUACCCGGGAACUGAGACACGGUCCAGACUCCUACGGUAGGCAGCAGUGGGGACUAUUGGGCAAAGGGCGCAAGCCUGAUCCUGCCAUACCGCGUGAGUGAAGAAGGCCUUCGGGUUGGAAAGCCCUUUUGUUGGUAAAGAAGAACAGCUGUUUUAUCCCCCGCUGUUCUGACGGUACCCAAAGAAUAAGCACCGGCUAACUUCGUG